rnacentral:tRNA from 1 species
GACCGCUUAGCUCAGUUGGUAGAGCAUUGCGCUUACAUCGCAAGGGUCGCAGGUUCAAGCCCUGCAGCGGUCA